UUUUUUUAUUACAAUCCAAUUUCUGUUACCGUUAGAUCAAGUAUACGUCCUGUAUUAUUAUUGUUCUUCAUAUUUGUCUUCGGAAUAAUCACUUUCUGCAAUACAAAGAGAACAAAAAAGAGGGACUGUUAGUUGUGUUAAACCCAGCUCAAUCGGGAGAAUGCUGCCUGAACGCCUGCUGUUACAAGUUACAAUGAUUGUAAUUAUGUUUCAUGGAAGCCAUUAUUCUAUAUUUCCUUAUGCUCACAUUAGUUGCUCUUUUUUGUUCUCUUUGUAUUGCAGAA
rnacentral:misc_RNA from 1 species